rnacentral:rRNA from 1 species
UAAUAUAUGGGUAACGUGCCCUAGAGAAGAGGAUAACAUUUGGAAACGAAUGCUAAUACUCUAUAUGCCUUUAAGACUUAAGUCUGCAAGGGAAAUAUUUAUAGCUCUAGGAUCGGCCUGUACGGUAUCAGCUUGUUGGUGAGGUAAUGGCUCACCAAGGCAAUGACACCUAACUGGUUUGAGAGGAUGAUCAGUCACACUGGAACUGAGACACGGUCCAGACUCCUACGGGAGGCAGCAGUGGGGAAUAUUGCACAAUGGACGAAAGUCUGAUGCAGCAACGCCGCGUGGAGGAUGACACAUUUCGGUGCGUAAACUCCUUUUAUAUAGGAAGAUAAUGACGGUACUAUAUGAAUAAGCGCCGGCUAACUCCGUGCCAGCAGCCGCGGUAAUACGGAGGGCGCAAGCGUUACUCGGAAUCACUGGGCGUAAAGAGCGUGUAGGCGGGUUAAUAAGUCAGAAGUGAAAUCCAAUAGCUCAACUAUUGAACUGCUUUUGAAACUGUUAACCUAGAAUAUGGGAGAGGUAGAUGGAAUUUCUGGUGUAGGGGUAAAAUCCGUA